rnacentral:rRNA from 1 species
GACGAACGCUGGCGGCGUGCUUAACACAUGCAAGUCGAACGGAAAGGCCCUGCUUUUGUGGGGUGCUCGAGUGGCGAACGGGUGAGUAACACGUGAGUAACCUGCCCUUGACUUUGGGAUAACUUCAGGAAACUGGGGCUAAUACCGGAUAGGAGCUCCUGCUGCAUGGUGGGGGUUGGAAAGUUUCGGCGGUUGGGGAUGGACUCGCGGCUUAUCAGCUUGUUGGUGGGGUAGUGGCUUACCAAGGCUUUGACGGGUAGCCGGCCUGAGAGGGUGACCGGCAACAUGGGGACGGAGAUACGGCCCAGACCCCUACGGGGGGCAGCAGGGGGGAAUAUUGCAAAAGGGGCGGAAGCCUGAGGCAGCAACGCCGGGGGGGGGAGGACGGCCUUGGGGUUGUAAACCGCUUUCGCCGGGGACGAAGGGUGGGGGGCGGUAAGGGGAAAAGAAGCACGGGCAAACUACGU